AACGAACGCUGGCGGCGUGGUUGAUACAUGCAAGUCGAACGGGAAAGGAGGCUUCGGCCUCCGAGUACAGUGGCGGACGGGUGAGUAACGUAUAAUCAAUCUGCCCAAGAGACUAGGAUAGCCAUCCGAAAGGAUGGGUAAUACUGGAUAAGCCCACGGUAAGGCAUCUUACUGUGCGAAAAGGAUUGGGAUCUUCGGACCUUUCGCUCUUGGAUGAGAUUAUAACCUAUCAGUUAGUUGGCGGGGUAACGGCCCACCAAGACGACGACGGGUAGCCGGCCUGAGAGGGUGGACGGCCACACUGGAACUGAGACACGGUCCAGACUCCUACGGGAGGCAGCAGUGCUGAAUUAUUCGCCAAUGCGCGAAAGCGUGACGGUGCGACGCCGCGUGCGGGACGAAGGCCUUCGGGUUGUAAACCGCUGUCAGGGAUUAGAAAACCUAUAUGGUUAAUAGCCAUGUAGCUGAUCAGUCCCAAAGGAAGCACAGGCUAAUCUCGUGCCAGCCGCCGCGGUAAAAC
rnacentral:rRNA from 1 species